GUGCUCGCUUCAGCAGCACAUGUACUAAAACUGGACCAAUACAGAGAAGAUUAGCAUGGCCCCCGCACAAAGAUGCCACAUGAACUUGUGAGGCAUUCCACAUUUGU